CGGUGAAUACGUUCCCGGACCUUGCACACACCGCCCGUCAAACAAUGGAAGUCGGGUGUACCUUAAGACGAUGACCGCAAGGAAUUGUCCAAGGUAAAACCGGUAACUGGUGUU
rnacentral:rRNA from 1 species